GACGAACGCUGGUGGCGUGCUUAACACAUGCAAGUCGAACGAAGAUAUGUUGAAAGCUUGCUGAUGCAUAUUUAGUGGCGGACGGGUGAGUAACGCGUGAGGACUUGUCUAGUACAGGGGGACAACAGUUGGAAACGGCUGCUAAUACCCCAUAAGCCUAAGGGUAAAAGGAGCAAUCCGGUACAUGAGAGACUCGCGUCCUAUCAGCUAGUAGGUGGGGUAACGGCCCACCUAGGCGAAGACGGGUAGCCGGCCUGAGAGGGCGAACGGCCACACUGGAACUGAGACACGGUCCAGACUCCUACGGGAGGCAGCAGUGGGGAAUAUUGGGCAAUGGAGGGAACUCUGACCCAGCGACGCCGCGUGAGUGAAGAAAUCCCUCGGGAUGUAAAGCUCUGUUGUGUGGGAAGAUAAUGACGGUACCACACGAGGAAGCCCCGGCAAACUACGUGCCAGCAGCCGCGGUAAU
rnacentral:rRNA from 1 species